AUUGGACACCCCUGCUCUAAAGCAUUCUUCCUCACUCCUGGCCCAUUCGUCCUCAAUCCUGGUCCUGGAGAGCUGCAGGGUGAGCUGCUUUUUGUUUUCUGCUUAAUAUCAGCAGAACCAAGAAAGCGGGCGUGCAGUGGGCGGCGUAUUGACUGUCGCCAAUGGCGACGCUGAAGUGGACAUCCAUCAUCUCACCGCCACCCCACACAGGUGCAGAGGCCACCACCCGCACAGCAACCUCACUUGAAUUACAGACAUUUACGAAUGUCCGGAUGCUGUGGAAGGGAUGCGGCUGAUUGGAUAAGGUGACACAAAAUGGAGGAGAGUGUUGGCAGUGAUGAGAUUGCAGGAGCGUGGCUGUCCCCUCACAGAGCUUUCAUCACCAGCCCAGCUGGGCGCUCAGCGCUCCUCUGUGUCCACGUGGCUCACUUAACCUCAU